UACGGAGGGGCUAGCGUUGUUCGGAAUUACUGGGCGUAAAGCGCACGUAGGCGGCUUUGCAAGUCAGAGGUGAAAGCCCGGGGCUCAACUCCGGAACUGCCUUUAAGACUGCAUCGCUAGAAUUGUGGAGAGGUAAGUGGAAUUCCGAGUGUAGAGGUGAAAUUCGUAGAUAUUCGGAAGAACACCAGUGGCGAAGGCGACUUACUGGACACAUAUUGACGCUGAGGUGCGAAAGCGUGGGGAGCAAACAGGG
rnacentral:rRNA from 1 species